UAGUUAUUAAGUUCAGAAAAUAUAUCUUUCUUCUUUUGCUUCAAAUGAUUGUGCAGUUUUAAAUUCCCAUUGUGUCACAGUUUGUUCUCUCACUAACAUAGAGCUUUUAAAACUAUUUUAUAGUAGAGCAUUUUAAAAAAAAGUUUAAAA